rnacentral:rRNA from 1 species
AGUGAACGCUGGCGGUAGGCCUAACACAUGCAAGUCGAACGGCAGCACAGUAAGAGCUUGCUCUUACGGGUGGCGAGUGGCGGACGGGUGAGGAAUACAUCGGAAUCUACUUUUUCGUGGGGGAUAACGUAGGGAAACUUACGCUAAUACCGCAUACGACCUACGGUUGAAAGCAGGGGAUCUUCGGACCUUGCGCGAUUGAAUGAGCCGAUGUCGGAUUAGCUAGUUGGCGGGGUAAAGGCCCACCAAGGCGACGAUCCGUAGCUGGUCUGAGAGGAUGAUCAGCCACACUGGAACUGAGACACGGUCCAGACUCCUACGGGAGGCAGCAGUGGGGAAUAUUGGACAAUGGGCGCAAGCCUGAUCCAGACAUACCGCGUGGGUGAAGAAGGCCUUCGGGUUGUAAAGCCCUUUUGUUGGGAAAGAAAAGCAGCAGGUUAAUACCCCGCUGUUCUGACGGUACCCAAAGAAUAAGCACCGGCUAACUUCGUG